rnacentral:lncRNA from 1 species
GUUACAGAACCAAACUGGGGUUCACUCGCUAGGCCUACUUAGGUGCCUGGAAUUUCCCUUCAAGGAACUCAGGAGUUUUCUUUAUUUUCAUCCUUGGGAAGGCUCAUUAGGCCCCUAAGAGGGGGUCCUGUUCCCAUCUCAGGACUAAAAUGCAAUGAAGAUGUUGCUCAGGGAGGGACAUUUCACUUUUUAAAUCAGCUUUCUGAAGUAUGAUCUCCAUAUAAUCACUUAGAAGCAUACAGCGCAAUGAUCUUGACAGAUGCCAGCAUCCUUGGAACCACUGCCACAACCAACGUCUCAAACCAUUCCAUCAAACCAGAACAUGCCUGGUGCCCUGAAGCGUCUCCCUUCAAUGGCAGAACCAGCAGAGGUUCAGUGGUCACAAGGCUGGUCUCCAACUCCUGGGUGCAAGCGAUCCUCCCACCUCGGCCUCCCAAAGUGCUGGGAUUACAGGCAUGAGCCACCAUGCCCAGCCAGGAAUGGAUUUUCU